CGCGAUCCUGAACUCCUCUUCUCACGAUUCUUCAUCGUCGCCCCUCCUUUUUGCCCUUCCACGCCGGUGCCACCUUGUUGGGACGAGGGUGCUAUCGGUGCCACAAUCACUAGUGGAUUAGGGCUUCUGACGAGGGCUGUUAGGUUGAAGGUUCGAAUCGUACCGAAGCCAAGAUUUAUCCUUGAAAUCGCAAAGAAGGCAAGUAUUUUCUUCCCUUGUAGGUAUGAGAUUAGGGUUUCUUUGGUUUUGCACUGUCCUUCAAGAGGAUUCUUCGGAUGUGAUUGGUGGGUGAGUAAGCUAUGAUGGUUUCUUUGUGUUGCUGGAAUUUCAGGGACAAAUUUGGGAGAAUUGAGUUAGGGUGUUUGCGUGUUUUCUCUUCUUCUGUUUAGUUCCGAAUUUCAGAGAUGUGGGAUGUUUUGUUUUACAAUUUCAUAGCUUCUUUGUAAUGAUCUUGCCCCACUGGAAUGUGUUCGGGAUUCAUAGAUGGGUUCGAUUUUUUGCUGCACUGCUCUUUGUGAGAUUUUAGUUCUUCUGAAUGUUGAUCGGAUUUGGAAAAUAGGGUUUUGGAUUUGAUGAUGUACUCAUUCUUCCGCAAGCUAGUAGCAGAUCUGAUAGUUGAUAAAUUGAUUUUGAGGUUGUAAUGUUUCUACAUAAGGAAAUUUGGUUUAUUUGCAGUAGAUUUGGUAGGGUGCAAAACUGUUUUCGAUGUUGUAUUGUUUCUUCUUAUUGGUUCCAAUUUUUCUGCAGCAAAUUUUGUGAGUGUAUGAUUGGGUUUAUUUAAUAUUAUGUUUUUUCUCUGAUAACACAUGUUUUGGGAUAGCAUUAGAAGGAUAGAAAUUUGUGUGGAAUGGUUUCAGUUUGCUGGAUCUAACGAGAUUGAUGCUUGGGUUGUGAUCUAUUUGUUUAUUGUGUUGGGUUCAGUUUGCUUGACAAAUUGGAAUUAUUAUUUUGGUUAAGUUGAAUCUUGCUUUAUGUGUGAGUUUCAGAUUUUGGUGGGAAUGAAAAUGUGGCGUAGGGAGUGUGUGGUGGUGCUUGCUUAUCUCCUUGAGACAAAAUAAGUCGGUGGACUCACAAUGUAAAUGAUACAAGUAUAGGCACCAAGGAGGUGAUAGAGGAUGUGGAGGUGGAGUAACUGAGGAGAUGAGAUAGAAUACAUAGCACACUGUCCAAGGAAAUUAAGAGCAUGUUAAUAAAUGUGGUCUUUUGAUUGUUAUGUGGAUAUGAGUUGGAGACUAUUCGUUUUAUGUUUUCAUAUUUUGUCAUUGGAAGCUUAAGAAAUUUUCAUUCAAAAAAUAUAUGUUGAGAAUUAAAGUUUACAUGUGAUGAAAUUUUCUUUGGGUCUAAA